ensembl:lncRNA
UUUUGUUUGUUUUUUCUCUGAUGGGCAAGGCUGAGUGAGGUGGUAAUCCUGUCUGCCGGUGAUUUGCUGGAGUCUCCUGCUUUUAUACCUCCUGCUCCAUCGUGUCCUAACCAGGGCUUACAGACUUCUCUCCCCCGUGGGAUGCGGAUCCUGCGAUGCCAAUGACCAGAGCUUCCCUUGUUUGUAGAGCCAGCAUCUGGCGCUGUAUCUGCACAGAUUAAUUCAGAGAGACGGCUCUAAGCGGCAUUCCUUCAGUUGUGCUAGUUCCGGAGUUGGGAAGAACCUGUUCAACUCACAAGCUGGACAGGCCUUUCUCUUGGACCUGAAAGAUUUAUGACCCGAUCAUCCAGAAGCCCCACCACAAAAACCUCAUUGAGCUGGUUACAUGUUAUCUUCCGAAUAUCAGCUCAGAUGAAAAGGACCGUCUGGCCCACUGACAACCAUCCAUUGGCUUCUGCACAGUGUAUUAUUGUCCAACGCUUCCUCGGGAGCUAUAAUUAGGUGAUGGUGUAAGGAGGCCACGGUGCGCGUUUGAAUAGCGACUCUAUUUGGGUCAUGAUGUCACUCACUCACUCGGGUCCCUUCUCAUCAUAUGGCCUUCACCAGAGUGUGGUUGGAAUUCAGCACACAUGAAAUCAGACCUUCACUGAGUUUUUCAUGAAGUAAUGAUAGCUCUUGGGAUGAAGAGCCUUUACAUAUCUGAAAUAAUUAUGACUUAAGAGUUGAAGUUCUGGGACCCCACUUUCUAGCUCUUUAAUCUGGACAAGCCUCUUAGAGACUUCCUUUGUUCAUCUGCUAAUUAGGGUUCACGGUACUAGUAACUUCUAUGGGCUAUAACAUAUGGUGUAUAUAUUACUUGCCUUUCCCCCAUCAUACCCAAUCAAUGACUACGUCCUGAAUGUUCCCCCUCUGAAGUAUUAAUAUCUCUCAACUCUUUCCAUGGUUCUCUGUCACCAUCCCAGGCCCAGCCACUGUCCACUCUGGCUUAGAUCAUUGCACUAGCCUCUUCACUGCACCCACUCUUAUGUUCCUCUAAUAGACAGGCUGCUUCCACAAUCAUCUUGUGGGUCAAUCUCCUGGAACACAGCCUCCAGCUUCAAACCUUCCAGUGGUUUGAUCUAAGCCGUUCUCUGAGGCUGAAGCCCCAGUUCCUCAUCUUGAUGGUCUGUCCUUGUCUGUAUCGCAAAGCUCAGGUCCUACCACGGGUCUCCCCCACUCCCACCACCGCAUCAGCAUUCCAGCCAAAUCAGCUUAUUUUCAGCCACUCAAAUACCUCAAGAACUCUCCUCUUUAAAAGCCCUCUGUACCGGUUGUUCCUUCUGCUUAGCACAUUCUCUACCCGUUCUCCACCACUUCCCUGCCUUGCCAAUUCCAGAUGCUCCUUUGAGAACCAGUUGGAAAUGCUGCUUCCUCGGGAAAUCCUCCUGAGAUGUCCCCCGCCACCUCCACCAUUAUUAUAAUCUCCUGAUAAACAGGCAUGCUCUACUUCCCAGCAUAUGUCACAACUCCAAUUAAAUAAUUACCUGGAAAGCAUUUGUUUAAAGCUUAUCUUCCUCUCUGGACUCUUUCUAAAACGUGGUUUCAUUUCUAGUAUACUAAGCGGCACAUAACGUUCACUCAUAAAACAUUGUGGAGGGAUGAAACUUGUUAUUCCUCUCAGCACUCAAUCCUGCCAUUUUUUGCGGUUGAAUAUCCUUGGGUCACCUUUGCUAGUUAAUCUCCAGCCUCCUCUUGGUUGAGGAUAGAAGGCUCUGUGUGAAGGAACCCCAUCUCUAGGUUUUCCUGGCCACCGAGGGCUGGGUGGAGAGCACGGUAGGAGUUAGAAGAGAGUCACUAGGCUGCUGAGUGUUACAGCUAGAAAGACACUUAGGGUUCAGUGAACCCCUUGGCCACAUUUUAAAGAUGGGGAAACUGAGGCCAAGAGAAAUUGAAAGUUAUGCUCAAGAGUAGAGCUAAGGAAUGGAUUCAGUGACCCUAAAAUAUUCUUUUCUCAGGCAUUAACACACACAUAGAAAACAUUUAUACACAGUUUGUAGAGCAUUUUCUAUUUCAUUACUGUUGCUCUAUUGAUCUUUAGAGCAGCCUUGAGAAGAAGGUAGGGCAAUCGUUCAUCCUCGUUAUACAGACGAGGAAAUAAGAACAGGGUGUCUGGUGACUUAUGCCCACAUCCAAGGUCAACCCAACUUACAAGUGCAAAAGCCUGAGUCCCCGAGCUUCAGGUUCUAGGGUGCAUGUUUUUUCCCACCACAUUGCUCUGUUUUUCUUACAAAUAAAUACUUGUGUGUG